rnacentral:rRNA from 1 species
GACGAACGCUGGCGGCGUGCUUAACACAUGCAAGUCGAACGGGCUGCCUGGUUUUCGGAUCGGGUGGCGAGUGGCGAACGGGUGAGUAACACGUGAGUAACCUGCCCCUCUCUUUGGGAUAACGUCGGGAAAUCGGCGCUAAUACCGGGUAUUCUGGCUUCCUCGCAUGGGGUUGUUGGGAAAGGUUUUUUCUGGUGGGGGAUGGGCUCGCGGCCUAUCAGCUUGUUGGUGGGGUGAUGGCCUACCAAGGCGGUGACGGGUAGCCGGCCUGAGAGGGUGUCCGGCCACACUGGGACUGAGACACGGCCCAGACUCCUACGGGAGGCAGCAGUGGGGAAUAUUGCACAAUGGGCGGAAGCCUGAUGCAGCGACGCCGCGUGGGGGAUGACGGCCUUCGGGUUGUAAACCUCUUUCAGUGCAGAACAAGGCUCUUUGUGGGUUGAGGGUAUGCGCAGAAGAAGCGCCGGCUAACUACGUG